UUCGUAGGUGAACCUGCGGAGGGAUCAUUACCGAGUUUUCAACUCCCAAACCCCUGUGACAUACCAAUUGUUGCCUCGGCGGAUCAGCCCGCUCCCGGUAAAACGGGACGGCCCGCCAGAGGACCCCUAAACUCUGUUUCUAUAUGUAACUUCUGAGUAAAACCAUAAAUAAAUCAAAACUUUCAACAACGGAUCUCUUGGUUCUGGCAUCGAUGAAGAACGCAGCAAAAUGCGAUAAGUAAUGUGAAUUGCAGAAUUCAGUGAAUCAUCGAAUCUUUGAACGCACAUUGCGCCCGCCAGUAUUCUGGCGGGCAUGCCUGUUCGAGCGUCAUUUCAACCCUCAAGCCCCCGGGUUUGGUGUUGGGGAUCGGCGAGCCCUUGCGGCAAGCCGGCCCCGAAAUCUAGUGGCGGUCUCGCUGCAGCUUCCAUUGCGUAGUAGUAAAACCCUCGCAACUGGUACGCGGCGCGGCCAAGCCGUUAAACCCCCAACUUCUGAAUGUUGACCUCGGAUCAGGUAGGAAUACCCGCUGAACUUAAGCAUAUCAAUAAGCGGAGGA
rnacentral:rRNA from 1 species